CCGCCCACUCCUGUCAGACUUGAUUCCCCCUUCCUCGCUGCAGGUUUCAAUGGGAAUCCACCUCACUGUUUCACACAAGCCGCUAUUUAUCCUACGCCAGCCCUCGCCCGUGCUAUGUCUGGUUGGAAGAAAUGAGUCCAGCAGGGACAGGGUUAAACAGCGCAUGCUGUGGAUUGCCAAGGAAGAUCGAGGGAAUUUAAUGAGUCACUCCCCAAAUCUGUCAGAUCAAAGAGCUGCACUCCUGACACGGAAACAACAGCAUGAAUUCUCAGAAUUUCAAGCUGGUCUUGGGAAAACUCUACUUUCAUUGAAUAAUUGCAUUGCCAGCAUGACCAACAAGCACAUUCACCCUCGACGAACCCAAAAUCUAGGUAAGUAACGGCUACACUCAUAGUGUAAACCCCAAGUUCUUUAAAUACUUCAGAGGUCACUGGCAUGAUUUA